GACGGAGGAUGCAAGCGUUAUCCGGAAUUAUUGGGCGUAAAGCGUCCGCAGGUGGCCUAUCAAGUCUGCUGUCAAAGACCGGGGCUUAACCCCAGAAAGGCAGUGGAAACUGAAAGGCUAGAGGAUGGUAGGGGCAGAGGGAAUUCCCAGUGUAGCGGUGAAAUGCGUAGAGAUUGGGAAGAACACCGGUGGCGAAAGCGCUCUGCUGGGCCAUAACUGACACUCAGGGCCGAAAGCUAGGGGAGCGAAUGGG
rnacentral:rRNA from 1 species